GAGACACGGCCCAGACUCCUGCGGGAGGCAGCAGUGGGGAAUAUUGCACAAUGGGGGAAACCCUGAUGCAGCGACGCCGCGUGAGCGAUGAAGUAUCUCGGUAUGUAAAGCUCUAUCAGCAGGGAAGAAAGUGACAGUACCUGACUAAGAAGCCCCGGCUAACUACGUGCCAGCAGCCGCGGUAAUACGUAGGGGGCAAGCGUUAUCCGGAUUCACUGGGCGUAAAGGGAGCGCAGGCGGCACGGCAAGUCUGGUGUGAAAACCCGGGGCUCAACCCCGGGACUGCAUUGGAAACUGCCGGGCUGGAGUGUCGGAGGGGUAAGCGGAAUUCCUAGUGUAGCGGUGAAAUGCGUA
rnacentral:rRNA from 1 species